UCAAAAGCAAAACGAGAUGCAUAUAUAUAACAGAAUUGAAAAAAAUAGCUAUAAAGUGUGAAUAGUAAAUACAAAAUUGCACAGGAGGGUGGAUUUUCACCAUUUUCGAAUAAGAAUAAUUAAAAUGUUUGAUGGUGAUGGUGGUGCACGAAGGACGAAGACAGGCGGCUUCGUUUCCACGGUAUUGGAAAAUAGGUUAUAAAGAAAAAGGUUUGAUAGGAGGUAGCUGCAUAGAUGAAGCAGUAGUUGUCGAGAGAAGACUGCUCGCGGAAAGUGAGCAUUCGAUAUCGGAGGGGACCACCAUUUUGUCGGUCGGGCCGUCGGGGGAGGUGUACUACGUGAAGUGGGCUCAAGCAUGCUCAAGAUAGCCAGCCCCCGUCAAAGGUCCGUCGCGAGUUUACGCAGAUGAGCAGAUUGAAAACGAUACGAAAGACGUACGAGGGGGCUCGGGGAUGAUUUUUAUGACACCCGGGUUCCCUCAAUCACAUCAUUAACCACUAUUAUUUUAUACCGUAUGAGCGCAUGAAAGAUUUUCAACGUUACCCCAUUUCUUUCCAACUUGGUGAACGAUUCUUCGAGUUUGAAUUUCACCGAACACACGACACUCCGACACUUGUCUUAACCUAAAACACACAGCUCGAGGCUUACUCCACUUUGUCGACACGGCGGGCCGUAUAAAUCACCAAAAUACACGACAUUAUUCGUCAAUAUAAAGGGACAAGUCAUAAAACGCCAUGAACAAUAACAAGGAGCCGCCAUUUGCAAUGCGACUAACUGACAUGCGCAAAUCAAUCGCGCGGGGCAUCCUGGGUAUCGUUGCAAUUGGUUGCAACGCCAUCUCACCGAUAAUCUAUCUCUACUCGUAACCUUCUUUGCCUUGCUCACUCCCUCUUUUUCUCUACUCUCUUUACGCACCACCCGAACCUCUCAUAUUAUUUAACUUUUUUUUUAAUCUUUAUCAUCCUUAUUUUUAAUGUUCUUUGUUUUUACCCCUAAUUUUUAUUCAUUGUCGCAACGAGCCAUUAAUUUUAAGACGCAAAUUGUUUUAACCUUGAAAUGUACAACAUUGCAUGGUGUAGAUACUUAACUAUAUGCUCGUUUGGAGUAAUCACAGUGUCUUUGUUGGGAUCAAAUGGACAUUGAGGAAAAUUCUUAUGAAAGAUUUACAGAUUUAUUAUAUUGAACUUUUGCAUUAUACUACAGAAGUAACGGCUAAAGCUGGAUUUAUUUUGGACACGAUUGCAUGAAGCCUGAAUCGUUCAUGAUUUUUAAAGCAGCCUCUGCGUCAUAAGUCCUGCAAAUAAAAAAAACAAUUCAUCAACGUU